UACGUAGGGGGCAAGCGUUGUCCGGAAUCAUUGGGCGUAAAGAGCGUGUAGGCGGCCCGGUAAGUCCGCUGUGAAAGUCAAGGGCUCAACCCUUGAAUGCCGGUGGAUACUGCAGGGCUAGAGUCCGGAAGAGGCGAGUGGAAUUCCUGGUGUAGCGGUGAAAUGCGCAGAUAUCAGGAGGAACACCGGUGGCGAAGGCGGGUCUCUGGGCCGAUGACUGACGUGAGGAGCGAAAGCGUGGGGAGCGAACAGG
rnacentral:rRNA from 1 species